UAACGCUUGCUGAUAACGUGCAGCUUUCCCUUCAGGCGUGAUUCAUACAGCGGCCAGCCAUCCGUCAUCCAUACCACGACCUCAAAGGCCGACAGCAGGCUCAGAAGACGCUCCAGUGUGGCCAGAGUGCGUUCACCGAAGACGUGCGCCACAACCGUCCUCCGUAUCCUGUCAUACGCGUAAAACAGCCAGCGCUGACGUGAUUUAGCACCGACGUAGCCCCACUGUUCGUCCAUUUCAGCGCAGA
rnacentral:rRNA from 1 species